rnacentral:rRNA from 1 species
AUUGAACGCUGGCGGCAGGCCUAACACAUGCAAGUCGAGCGAGCGGCGGACGGGUGAGUAAUGUAUGGGGAACUGCCCGAUAGAGGGGGAUAACUACUGGAAACGGUGGCUAAUACCGCAUACUAUCGGAUGUACCCAGAUGGGAUUAGCUAGUAGGUGGGGUAAAGGCUCACCUAGGCGACGAUCCCUAGCUGGGCUGAGAGGAUGAUCAGCCACGUUGGGACUGAGACACGGACCAGACUCCUACGGGAGGCAGCAGUGGGGAAUAUUGCACAAUGGGCGCAAGCCUGAGACAGCCAUGCCGCGUGUAUGAAGAAGGCCUUCGGGUUGUAAAGUACUUUCAGCGAGGAGGCGUUACGCGCAGAAGAAGCACCGGCUAACUCCGUGCCAGCAGCCGCGGUAAUAC